GGACCCGCACAAGCGGUGGAGUAUGUGGUUUAAUUCGAUGCAACGCGAAGAACCUUACCAGGGUUUGAAAUCAUUUCAAAACUCCUUGAAAGAGGAGCCUCCUUCGGGAUGAAAUGACAGGUGGUGCAUGGCUGUCGUCAGCUCGUGUUGUGAAAUGUCGAGUUAAGUCUCGUAACGAGCGCAACCCAUGUCUCUUGUUGCUCACUGAGUGCUUAAGAGAGACUGCCGACCAACAUCGGAGGAAGGUGUGGAUGAUGUCAAGUCAGCAUGCCCCUUACAUCCUGGGGCUACACACGUACUACAAUGGUAGUGACAAUGGGU
rnacentral:rRNA from 1 species